rnacentral:tRNA from 1 species
GGAAGUGUGGUUAAAUGGUUAAGCACAGCUCUAGGAGUCUGGAGGUCUGGGCUCUAUUCCUAGCACUGCCA